GCCCCUGUAGCUCAGCCGGUAGAGCGACAGACUGUUAAUCUGUAGGUCGGCAGUUCGAGUCUGCCCGGGGGCG
rnacentral:tRNA from 1 species